UACGGGGGGAGCAAGCGUUGUUCGGAUUUACUGGGCGUAAAGGGCGUGUAGGUGGUUUCGUAAGUCUGGCGUGAAAUAUCUCGGCUUAACCGAGGCAGGUCGUCGGAUACUGCGGGACUAGAGGACGGUAGAGGCGUGUGGAAUUCCGGGUGUAGUGGUGAAAUGCGUAGAGAUCCGGAGGAACACCAGUGGCGAAGGCGACACGCUGGGCCGUACCUGACACUGAUGCGCGACAGCAUGGGGAGCAAACAGG
rnacentral:rRNA from 1 species